CAAAAAUAUUUCUGCUUUCUCCUCACACUAUGUCGUGAUGUGACCGAUGUAUCCUCUGGAUGUCGCUGGAUCAUUCGAAUCUUUCCGUCAGGACAUCUAUUGGAUCACAGUUUGUGACUCGACUUUCUUUCCAGGAAUGAUUUUACAAACUUUGUAUUGAUGCCGCAAUAACGAAAUAAUAAUGUUUCACAAUAUGUUAAUUAUAU